GUGGGGAAUCUUGCGCAAUGGGCGAAAGCCUGACGCAGCCAUGCCGCGUGAAUGAUGAAGGUCUUAGGAUUGUAAAAUUCUUUCACCGGGGACGAUAAUGACGGUACCCGGAGAAGAAGCCCCGGCUAACUUCGUGCCAGCAGCCGCGGUAAUACGAAGGGGGCUAGCGUUGCUCGGAAUUACUGGGCGUAAAGGGCGCGUAGGCGGACAGUUUAGUCAGAGGUGAAAGCCCAGGGCUCAACCUUGGAAUUGCCUUUGAUACUGGCUGUCUUGAGUACGGGAGAGGGGAGGGGAACUCCGAGUGUAGAGGUGAAAUUCGUAGAUAUUCGGAAGAACACCAGUGGCGAAGGCGACUCACUGGCCCGUUACUGACGCUGAGGCGCGAAAGCGUGGGGAGCAAACAGGAUUAGAUACCCCGGUAGUCC
rnacentral:rRNA from 1 species